ensembl:snRNA U6 U6 spliceosomal RNA
GUGCUCGCUUCGGCAGCACAUAUACUAAAAUUGGAACGAUACAGAGAAGAUUAGCGUGGCCUGUGCGCAAGGAUGACACGCAAAUUCAUGAAGUGUUCCAUAUUUUU